rnacentral:rRNA from 1 species
AUUGAACGCUGGCGGCAGGCCUAACACAUGCAAGUCGAGCGGAUGAAGGGAGCUUGCUCCUGGAUUCAGCGGCGGACGGGUGAGUAAUGCCUAGGAAUCUGCCUGGUAGUGGGGGAUAACGUCCGGAAACGGGCGCUAAUACCGCAUACGCCCUGAGGGAGAAAGUGGGGGAUCUUCGGACCUCACGCUAUCAGAUGAGCCUAGGUCGGAUUAGCUAGUUGGUGGGGUAAAGGCCUACCAAGGCGACGAUCCGUAACUGGUCUGAGAGGAUGAUCAGUCACACUGGAACUGGGACACGGUCCAGACUCCUACGGGAGGCAGCAGUGGGGAAUAUUGGACAAUGGGCGAAAGCCUGAUCCAGCCAUGCCGCGUGUGUGAAGAAGGUCUUCGGAUUGUAAAGCACUUUAAGUUGGGAGGAAGGGCAGUAAGUUAAUACCUUGCUGUUUUGACGUUACCAACAGAAUAAGCACCGGCUAACUUCGUG